rnacentral:rRNA from 1 species
AUUGAACGCUGGCGGCAUACUUUACACAUGCAAGUCGAACGGUAACAGGCCUUCGGGCGCUGACGAGUGGCGAACGGGUGAGUAAUGCAUCGGAACGUGCCCAGUCGUGGGGGAUAACGCAGCGAAAGCUGCGCUAAUACCGCAUACGAUCUAUGGAUGAAAGCGGGGGACCGUAAGGCCUCGCGCGCUUGGAGCGGCCGAUGUCAGAUUAGGUAGUUGGUGGGGUAAAGGCUCACCAAGCCAACGAUCUGUAGCUGGUCUGAGAGGACGACCAGCCACACUGGGACUGAGACACGGCCCAGACUCCUACGGGAGGCAGCAGUGGGGAAUUUUGGACAAUGGGCGCAAGCCUGAUCCAGCAAUGCCGCGUGCAGGAAGAAGGCCUUCGGGUUGUAAACUGCUUUUGUACGGAACGAAACGGUCCUGGUUAAUACCUGGGGCUAAUGACGGUACCGUAAGAAUAAGCACCGGCUAACUACGUGCCAGCCGCCGCCGUAAGAC